rnacentral:misc_RNA from 1 species
GAAAUGCGAUACGUAAUGUGAAUUGCAGAAUUCCGUGAAUCAUCGAAUCUUUGAACGCAUAUUGCGCUCCUUGGUAUUCCUCGGAGCACGCCUGUUUGAGUAUCGUGUAAUCUCUCUCUCCACUCUUGUGGAAAGGAUGUGAGCUUUGCUUUCUAUGAAGCUAGCUUGGAAUGCAUCGAGUGUCUAUCCUUGACUCUUUUGCUAUGUAAGUCGCAAGACUCGUGGCUCAAGCAACAAGGCAGUAGCACCUACACUUUUUUAACUUGAUCUCAAAUCAGGCGAGACUACCCGCUGAACUUAA